AUUGAACGCUGGCGGCAUGCCUUACACAUGCAAGUCGAACGGCAGCACGGGUGCUUGCACCUGGUGGCGAGUGGCGAACGGGUGAGUAAUACAUCGGAACAUGUCCUGUAGUGGGGUAUAGCCCGGCGAAAGCCGGAUUAAUACCGCAUACGAUCUACGGAUGAAAGCGGGGGACCUUCGGGCCUCGCGCUAUGGGGUUGGCCGAUGGCGGAUUAGCUAGUUGGUGGGGUAAAGGCCUACCAAGGCGACGAUCAGUAGCUGGUCUGAGAGGACGACCAGCCACACUGGAACUGAGACACGGCCCAGACUCCUACGGGAGGCAGCAGUGGGGAAUUUUGGACAAUGGGCGAAAGCCUGAUCCAGCAAUGCCGCGUGUGUGAAGAAGGCCUUCGGGUUGUAAAGCACUUUUGUCCGGAAAGAAAUCCUUGGCUCUAAUACAGUCGGGGGAUGACGGUACCGGAAGAAUAAGCACCGGCUAACUACGUG
rnacentral:rRNA from 1 species